ACGAACGCUGGCGGCGUGCUUAACACAUGCAAGUCGCACGCUGAAGCUCAGCUUUUGUUGGGUGGAUGAGUGGCGAACGGGUGAGUAACACGUGAGUAACCUGCCCCCUUCUUUGGGAUAACGCCCGGAAACGGGUGCUAAUACUGGAUAUUCACUGGUCUUCGCAUGGGGGUUGGUGGAAAGGGUUUUUCUGGUGGGGGAUGGGCUCGCGGCCUAUCAGCUUGUUGGUGGGGUGAUGGCCUACCAAGGCUUUGACGGGUAGCCGGCCUGAGAGGGUGACCGGUCACAUUGGGACUGAGAUACGGCCCAGACUCCUACGGGAGGCAGCAGUGGGGAAUAUUGCGCAAUGGGCGCAAGCCUGAUGCAGCGACGCCGCGUGAGGGAUGGAGGCCUUCGGGUUGUGAACCUCUUUCGCUCAUGGUCAAGCCGCAACAAUGGUUGUGGUGAGGGUAGUGGGUAAAGAAGCGCCGGCUAACUACGUG
rnacentral:rRNA from 1 species